AAGAAGAGAAGUAGAAGAAGUGGAAGAAGAAGAAGAAGAAGAAAUUGGAGGGUGUCCAAGAGCGUGAAUUAGAAUGCAAUACAUAUCCGUGUUUUCGAGCAAUCGUGAGGUGAGGAAGGGUCGCGUGUAGCGCUUCUCUUGCCCGGGACGACGUAGCGAAUUGAGUGAUAGGUACAUCGUCAGUUGAGCGAGGUAAGGGGAUUGCGCCUAGUUAGCCAUCCUACCAGUAUACUUAUCUGUAGCGGACUUCCAGAUAGUGAGCCAUCAUACUUUCUUUUGGACUAGCGUGGGCCAGGGCCAUUUACUUGUACUUGAUUUUGGGCGUGGAGUUGUGUAUCUUGUUACUAGUUUCUUGUUGUUCGGUGGUUUAGCUUAUGUAUAGUGCUCUGCUACUCGUCUUUUGGCUUUUAGUGACUUUUCUUAAUACUUGUAAUGUGAACAAUGGUUUUUUGUAACUCUUGAAAACUGUUAGAUUAUUUUGCCGCUUCGUUCAGAUAGGAAAAAUUCUGUCCGUUCGGCGGGUCUGUUAGCGUCUCGCAGUCUUUCGCUGCAAACUCGGGGCGUGACAGAGUUAGAGCUAUUUUUGCGCGAAAUGGACGCGAAAAAUAGGCUAGAAGUUAAAUCAGCUGAAACUAGGUUUCUAACCAUUUCCUGACGCCCGGAAGUGGAUUAGAGCGCCCGGAAGUGGCGAGCUGAGGAGUUUGGGGAUCCAGAGUGCAGUUCCGAACACCUUGGAUCCUGAUUAAGGGAGUCACUGUUCACGCCUGUUCUGGAUACCCGAAUGUUACUGUAGCAGAUCGGAGGAUGCUAGAGUGAUGUGACCAAGGCGGUGAGCAGGUAACAUAGCGAGCUUACUCACUGAGUUCCGUAUGCAGAUUCGGGCACCCGAAAAUGGGCGCAAGCAGCUACAUAGGGUUCGGGCAGCCCAUAGCAGGAGGGAGCACUCAAAUUACCUCGGAUACGGGACUUCGGAUGCCCGAAAGAUGGUUCCAUGCGCCAAAAGUAUAGUUUUCUAUUGAGGGUUUAUGUUUCUGAGUUUCAAGGGCCUUUCUGCUAUUGUCACCUCUAUAUAUAUAU